CGGCAACAGCUCAAAUUUGAAAUCUGGCUCACGCCCGAGUUGUAAUUUGCAGAGGUGGUCUCGGAGUCGUCCCCGGUCUAAGUUCCUUGGAACAGGACGUCGCAGAGGGUGAGAGUCCCGUACGCGGCCGGGUGCCUUCUCCGUGUGAGACCCCAUCGAC
rnacentral:rRNA from 1 species